rnacentral:rRNA from 1 species
GCGAUUCGCCCUUCGGGGUGCCCAGGCGCGAAAACUUUACAUGCUGGCAACAGCGAUAAGGGGACCUCGAGUGCCAGGAUACAAUCCUGGCUGUCGUAAUGCCUAAAAAGCAUUGCAUAGCAAGGGCCGGGCAAGACCGGUGCCAGCCGCCGCGGUAACACCGGCGGCUCGAGUGGUAACCGCUAUUAUUGGGUCUAAAGGGUCUGUAGCCGGCUGACUAAGUCUCUUGGGAAAUCUGGCAGCUCAACUGUCAGGCUUUCAGGAGAUACUGAUCGGCUCGAGACCGGGAGAGGUGAGAGGUACCUCAGGGGUAGGGGUGAAAUCUUGUAAUCCUUGAGGGACCGCCAGUGGCGAAGGCGUCUCACCAGAACGGAUCUGACGGCAAGGGACGAAAGCUUGGGGCACGAACCGGAUUAGAUACCCGGGUAGUCCUAGCCGUAAACGAUACUCGCUAGGUGUCGGCCACGGUGCGACCGUGGUCGGUGCCGUAGGGAAGCCGUGAAGCGAGCCACCUGGGAAGUACGGCCGCAAGGCUGAAACUUAAAGGAAUUGGCGGGGGAGCAC